CAGCUUGAAGGCUAAUUCCGCCAUGUGCUCCCGUCUGCUGCAGAGAGCAUGCCUUCCAGAGGACCCUCGGGAGAUGGAAUGCAUGGAAUCCAGAGGGUGAAGGAUUGCUUCAGGCAGACUGUAGCUAUUCUAGCAGAGCCUCAAGGCGGUACAGAGAUGAGAAGCUCCUAGCCUGCUGUUCCAGCAGCAGACCUCCACACUGACAUGUGAGCAGCGUCUGCACGUGAGAAAGGAUCCAAAAGACACGGACAGUCUGUCAUCCUGUGCGCAGUGGCGCCCGUGCUUAGGGGAGUGCACUUCAGCAGUGCCGACUGCUCGGAAGCCUGCCCUGGCAACCUCUCUGUGACUGGCCCUUUUAUCUUCAUCACGGUCUCAGCCACACCCACGUGGCCCCGUGAGAGAGGUCCCAGCUGUUCCCACUGGUCCCCUGUCAGACUUCAAAAGGCUCUUGUGGAAUUUCAAAUACACCAAGGAGGUCCUGGUUCUCAUUACACUUAGGUGAUCAGAUAUACAGCCUUACAUGGAUCAGCCAGAGGGCUUGACUCAUCUCCAUCGUCUUGCUGAAGUGCAGAGCCUGGCACUAGUGUUGUCUUGUUCAUACAGACGUGGACGGAGAGAGACAGCUCAGAGAACCACUGUGAUAAAGUCUACAGAAAACCUCUCCAAAGCCCAUUGGUCCCCAGCAGAGUUCCGGAGAAGGAGACAGUGCUGGCAUGGCUUCAGAGGAACACCACGCUGAUGUGGCCCGCUCCUCCUGAUGACCUGAGCACGCUGCGCCAGUGGAAGCCUCGUCAGGCCCCAGCGAGCCCAGGGCACAUCCAACGGUCGCGGUUUCCAACAGUUGCAAAGUGAAUGAAACGGGUUUUCAGCACCCACUGGCUGUGUCGAAUCAAAUAUGAAGCUGGAAGGGAACACGGCCAGAGCUUUACUGACAGGCAGAGUGCAGAGCAAGAGGAAGCGCAGUAGAACAGUCCCCCAGGUCGGGAAGUACCGCUGUUAUUAUUAUUACCCAAACAGCAGAGUAGCCCAUAUAUCUGCAGGAGACUGUCCAGUGACAUACAGGACAGGGGAAUUUUGCUGCUUUGUAAUAUUUAUUGUUCAGCUCAUCCAUCAACAUGUUGGAUAGUGAAGACAUGGAAGAUAUAUAUGGAGUUGUAUAUAAUCUGAUUCAUUAGACAAAAUUCAACAGUGCAUCAUCCAUAUGUUAAUUUGGAUAUAAAUUUCCUCUUCGGAUAUAAUAAAGGAAACUGAACUGAAUAUAACUGUAUAGGCAUGGGUUACUAAAAUUACCAAACUAUAAAACAAGGACCCCUAAUGAAAACCAGGUCCCCAUGACGAUAUC